CAACACCCGAAGUCGGUGAGGUAACCCGCAAGGGAGCCAGCCGCCGAAGGUGGGGCAAGUGAUUGGGGUGAAGUCGUAACAAGGUAGCCGUACCGGAAGGUGCGGCUGGAUCACCUCCUUUCUAAGGGGA
rnacentral:rRNA from 2 species